rnacentral:piRNA from 1 species
CUAUCUCCUGAGAAUGAACUUCUUU